rnacentral:rRNA from 1 species
CACGGGGGGAGCAAGCGUUGUUCGGAUUUACUGGGCGUAAAGGGCGCGUAGGCGGCGCAACAAGUCACUUGUGAAAUCUCCGGGCUUAACCCGGAGCGGUCAAGUGAUACUGUCGUGCUAGAGUGCGGAAGGGGCUACUGGAAUUCUCGGUGUAGCGGUGAAAUGCGUAGAUAUCGAGAGGAACACCUGCGGCGAAGGCGGGUAGCUGGGCCGACACUGACGCUGAUGCGCGAAAGCCAGGGGAGCGAACGGG